rnacentral:rRNA from 1 species
UGACCUACCUCGAAGUGAGGGAUACCGGCGAGAAAUCGCCGACAAUCCCGCAUAGGUUUCUGGCUUUGAGAGAAGCGGGAAACAAAGCUUUGCUUCGUGAGAAGAGAGGCGCUUUGAGAUGGGCCCGCGGCCGAUUAGCUGGUUGGUGGGGUAAAAGCCUACCAAGGCGUCGAUCGGUAGCUGGUCUGAGAGGACGAUCAGCCACACUGGGAUUGAGAACGGCCCAG